rnacentral:lncRNA from 1 species
AUUAACUUAAAUAUAUGAAAAAUGUCAUUAAUUGAUCGUAAUAGUUUCAUUUGUUAACAGUAGAGUGUCACUUAAAAAUUUAUUCAAAUCUUGUUUAUUUAACAAAGUUUUAGAAAUGAUACUUGUAGUUUCUUUCUUUUAAAUAUGUAAUUUUUUUUAUUAAAAUAAUACUUGUAGUUUCUUUCUUUUAAGUAUGUAGUUUCUUUUCUUUUAAUACUUGUAGUUUUUUUCUUUUUUCUGUAGUUUUUUUUUCUUUUAAUACUUGUAGUUUCUUUCUUUUUUCUAUAGUUUCUUUCUUUAAAUACUUGUAGUUUCUUUCUUUUAAUUAUGCAGUUUCUUUCUUUUAAUACUUGUAGUUUCUUUCUUUUAAGUAUGUAAUUUCUUUAUUAAAAGGCGAGAUUUUUUGUAGUUUCUUUCUUUUAAGUAU